rnacentral:rRNA from 1 species
AACGCGAAGAACCUUACCUACCCUUGACAUCCUAGGAAUCUGGCAGAGAUGCUGGAGUGCCGAAAGGAACCUGGAGACAGGUGCUGCAUGGCUGUCGUCAGCUCGUGUUGUGAGAUGUUGGGUUAAGUCCCGUAACGAGCGCAACCCUUAUCCUUAGUUGCCAACGCGUAAUGGCGGGGACUCUAAGGAGACUGCUGGUGAUGAACCGGAGGAAGGCGGGGACGACGUCAAGUCAUCAUGGCCUUUAUGGGUAGGGCUACACACGUGCUACAAUGGACAGUACAGAGGGUUGCCAACUCGCAAGAGGGAGCCAAUCCCAGAAAGCUGUUCGUAGUCCGGAUCGGAGUCUGCAACUCGACUCCGUGAAGUCGGAAUCGCUAGUAAUCGCGAAUCAGAAUGUCGCGGUGAAUACGUUCCCGGGCCUUGUACACACCGAGACGAC